GAAUAUUGGACAAAGGGCGAAAGCCUGAUCCAGCAAUGCCGUGUGAGUGAUGAAGGCCCUAGGGUUGUAAAGCUCUUUUGCCCGGGAAGAUAAUGACUGUACCGGGCGAAUAAGCUCCGGCUACCUCCGUGCCAGCAGCCGCGGUAAUACGGAGGGAGCUAGCGUUGUUCGGAAUUACUGGGCGUAAAGCGCACGUAGGCGGCUCAGCAAGUCAGGGGUGAAAUCCCGGGGCUCAACCCCGGAACUGCCCUUGAAACUGCUAAGCUAGAAUCCUGGAGAGGCGAGUGGAAUUCCGAGUGUAGAGGUGAAAUUCGUAGAUAUUCGGAAGAACACCAGUGGCGAAGGCGACUCGCUGGACAGGUAUUGACGCUGAGGUGCGAAAGCGUGGGGAUCAAACAGG
rnacentral:rRNA from 1 species